AUCCUUUCUCUAGUCGCCGGCCCGCCUCGCCUCGCGCCGCAAACCCUAACCCUACCCUCGAGAUGGCCGGAGAACCCUCGCCGUCGCCGCCCACCUCCUCCCCCGCCAAGCACCGCCGCCGCUCGCACGACGACGCCGACCCCGACGCCUCCCCGAAGCGCCGCAGGCACCACCGCCACCACCACCGCCACCGCUCGCACCGCCACCGUCACGUGGAGGAUGACGAGCCCCCGCUACCAGCGACGGCCGACGAAGACGUGGAGGAGGGAGAGAUACUGGACGACGGCAGCGCCGCCGCCGCCGCCGCUAUGGAUGUCGACACCCACGCCAAGAACGAUUCCGCCUCUGCUCCGGAUCUCUUUGGUAAUCAUGCUGAUACCAACUCAACCAUUGAUGCAACCAAGCUGCAUGCUUUGCGGCUGUCUAGUCAUUCACCCUCCAAAGACGAACGCGAGUCAAAUCACGCUGCUCGUGAGUCUGAAAGUGGAGGUAUCUUUUCAAGCGAUGCAGAGAAUGCCAAAGGAUAUGGACAAAGUCAAAGGGUGUCAAAAUCUCCAGAACCGACAAGGGACAAGGGAAGAAGGCACAAAGAUGAGCAUCAAACUACGCCUUCUAAAGAUUCUCAUCCGAAAGAUCACACCAAAAGAUCUCCUUCCUCGAGGCACCACACUGAAGUUCAUGCUAGGAAUCACUCAAGGGCUGGAGAAGCUGAUGCCGAAGCUAAUGGUUCACGGGCAAGUCCAAGGGAUGAUUCUGAUCGUGAUAACAGUGAUAGGAAUGGUUUUGGUAGGCAUGCGACUAGGGUAAGGCAGGAUGAGAAACACAGGAGCAGCAGUCGUACUGUUCACGAAGGACAUGGUGACAGGCGUGACGGCAGAGAAAGAUAUAGGGAUGAAAGGAGGCACAGCAGCAACGUUGUAGAUAGAGACAAUGUUGAUCGUAGGCACAGAGAAAGGAGCAGCAGUUAUAGUAGACCUGAACGAAGGGAAAGUGCACACCACACUCGUGAUGAAAGCAGGGAGAGGGAAAGACGGAGUGGUAGUUCAAGGCAUAAAGACCACGGGAGAAGGGAAUCAAGUACAGAUCGUUAUAAGGAAUACAACAUGGUUGGUACUGGUAAUGAAAAGGAUAAAGUGCGAGAGGAUAGAGACAGGGGGAGGCAUAGGGAUAUGGAAAGUGAAACUCGUAGAACUGGAGCUGGAGAACGGAAGGACAGAGUUAGCAAUAUUGAUAGGCAGAUGGAUUCUUCACGCUCAAAAUACAGCACGUCUGAUGUUCAUAAAGGUAGGCCAAGAUCCGGGGAGAAAGGUAGAGAUUCUGACAGUAGAAGCCAGAGAUCUAGGGGAAUGAAGGAAAAUUCUUUCAAGGAGGAAGACGAAGAAGAGUAUCAAGAGAAAAUUGAGCAACAAUUGGCCAUGCAGGAAGAAGAGGACCCUGAAAAAAUUAAGGAGGAAGCGAGGAGGAGGAAAGAAGCUAUUUUGGCAAAAUACAGGCAGCAACAAUUGCAGAAGCAGCAACUGGAAUCUGUAUCUAGAAACGCUGAUGAAGUAAGAACAUUGGAUCGAGGUGAGACUGUAGAUGUGAAAGAUGAUAAUGAUAGCAUUUCUGUGGACAACGAGGAAGCUGAAAACAAGCAAGAUUCUUCAGAUGCAUUUGUUGGUGAAGCGGACUUCACUGUGGGCAAGUCUCCUGCCUGUGAUGCUGCUGUAGCCCAUGCGGAUGCAUUGGGUAAUGAGAGGACAACAGCUGUUUCAGGCCUUGGAGAGGGUACUCCAAAGAGCGAGAGAUCAGCGGAUAUGUUUUGUGAUGAUAUUUUCGGAGAAUCACCUCCAGGAUUUCGAAAAUUGGAUAAGGAUGAUGGCUUGUGUAUUGAGAAAAAUGCUCUUCACGACAAUUGGGAUGAUCCUGAGGGAUACUAUACUCAUCGAUUUGGGGAAUUGUUGGAUGGCCGUUAUGAAAUUACAGCCGCACAUGGGAAGGGGGUGUUCUCUACAGUCGUCCGGGCAAAAGAUCUUAAAGCCGGGAAAGAUGACCCUGAAGUAGUUGCUAUUAAAAUUAUUCGCAAGAACGAGACAAUGUACAAGGCUGGUAAGCAAGAGGUUUCAAUAUUAGAAAAACUGGCAAGUGCGGAUCGUGAGGACAGACGCCACUGCGUGCGGUUUAUUUCUAGUUUCAUGUACCGGAACCAUCUUUGCUUAGUUUUUGAAUCUUUAAAUAUGAAUCUCCGUGAGGUACUAAAGAAAUUUGGUCGUAAUAUUGGGCUUAAACUGACUGCUGUGAGGGCAUAUUCAAAGCAGCUUUUCAUCGCGUUGAAGCACCUGAAGAACUGCAAAGUUCUGCACUGCGAUAUAAAGCCAGAUAAUAUGCUGGUGAAUGAUGCUAAGAAUGUCCUGAAGCUAUGUGAUUUUGGCAAUGCUAUGCUUGCUGGAAUGAAUGAGGUCACGCCUUAUCUUGUCAGCCGUUUUUAUCGGGCGCCUGAGAUCAUUCUUGGUCUGCCCUAUGAUCACCCAUUGGACAUCUGGUCAGUUGGCUGUUGUCUAUAUGAGCUUUCUACCGGAAAGGUCUUAUUUCCAGGUGCAACAAAUAACGACAUGCUUCGGCUUCAUAUGGAACUGAAGGGCCCCUUCCCUAAGAAGAUGCUCCGGAAGGGUGCGUUCACGAUGCAACACUUCGACCAAGAUCUCAAUUUUAACGCUAUCGAUGAAGAUCCUGUGACAAAAAAGCCUGUGAGGAGGUUGAUUCUCAAUAUUAAACCAAAGGAUAUGGGUUCUUUGAUUUCAAACUUUGCUGGCGAGGACCCAAAAAUGCUCUCCAAUUUUAAAGAUCUUCUUGAAAAAAUAUUUGUCUUAGAUCCAGAUAAGAGGAUAACCGUGUCACAGGCACUUAGCCAUCCAUUUAUCACUGGCAAGUGAAAAAUAAGAUGUUGAUUCCUCUUGACAUUGUAAACUACAAUUUGGGUUCCUCCUGUCUAAUCAUCGGCAUUUCUAUCUUGUGUCCUGGACUCCUUGGAGCUAUGAGAUCCGAGUACAUGGAUGAAGCAUGGGAUUGCUGAAGAGAUGGCUGUCUUACAGGCCUUGCUGCAUUCACUUGUCAUUUGGAUAUGUUCUGUUGCUUGGUUUCUGCCAGGACCUCUGCUGCGUGCACAUUUUAUAUCCUUAAGGGCCUACAUAAGAAGAUUCCUGGAUGCACCGGUUACACUUGUCAUGUGGUAACCUCUUUGAACUUCCUAGAUAUGUCUUAGUUCGUUCUUAAAUGUCCUCUCUCUAUGAACAACCUUUUUUUAUGUGUAUGUCUAGGGUGUUCUCUAAUCUUCAUUACAGGAUUCUGUUAAGUAUUUUAACGAACCAGAGUUUUUUUUUUGAGGGAUAACGAAGCAGAGUUAAUUGGUAGGUAAUAUCUUAUGAGAACUUUAGUGCUUCACACAUGACGUUCUUACUGAGUGCUUUCACUCUUCAGAAACGCUCCGUAUUAUUAGGUUAUGUAACUCCUUUGGUAUUUGGCGCUAUCUCAUUGUGUAAUGAAGCAAGUGAAAAGUUGGAGAAACUUAGCAGUGUAGCUAAAAAAAAAUGUAUGCACAUUUAUUACGUGAAAAUCUGGAAGUGCACCCUGAAGCUGCUGCUUUUAUUUCCAUUCAGUUGAUGCCUUCAAACGCAUUUGUCAAUGACUCAAUGUUCGCCUUAAGGCUAAAUGCCACAUCCUGAAGUACUUAAGCAAUAUAUUCAUUUAGAAGAUAAACAUGCUGUUAGAUAAAAUCUUGUCUUAUCAUAGAUGAAUGUAAACGUUCUAUGUUUUCUUCUCUUCCCAUAUCAAGAUAGUUGUUAGAUAAAUUGUCUUAUAUCAUAAAUGGAUGUAAACUUCCACAGUUUUCUUCUCUUCCAAUACGAAGAUAACUUGACGUUGGAUAUAUGACCUAGUACUUAAAAAUUGUUGCCCUUCUUUUGGAUUUUGUGCUUUACAGAAUCAUACUAUACAUAGCUUUUUUUUCUUUCUGUUGUUUAAAUUGUUCACUGCCAUUUGAAUUAUUUUGGCAGUGGCGAACGAUUAUUUAAUUAUUGAUGUUGUAGUUAAGUUAUUACAUUUAUCUGAUAUUAAUGUUCUGCUAACAUGACCUUAACUUUUGGCUGGGCGUAAAAGGUUUAUGCAAAUGAUAACUUCUCACCUGAUAUUCUGCAUUGGUCGGUUCUGCACUUGCAUCUAGUUGGUUCCAGUUCAGUAAAAUGCUAUAUUUUGCAGCAGCAUUUUAAAUUUUUUGAUAUCAAGCUGUACUUAAGGAUACAUGGUCUAAACAGCUUGAUUCUGAAACCGCUAGCCACAUUUUUUUUCAGGAACUAGCCAAAUUUAGAUAUCGGAUUAUUGUGGCUUCUGUUCCUUGAUGUAAUUCAGAAAACAAAAUAAAAAAACUUCGAAGCUACUUUUUUUUGUUAA